rnacentral:rRNA from 1 species
AUUGAACGCUGGCGGCAUGCCUUACACAUGCAAGUCGAACGGUAACGGGCCUUCGGGUGCCGACGAGUGGCGCACGGGUGAGUAAUACAUCGGAACGUGCCCGAUCGUGGGGGAUAACGAGGCGAAAGCUUUGCUAAUACCGCAUACGAUCUACGGAUGAAAGCAGGGGACCGCAAGGCCUUGCGCGGACGGAGCGGCCGAUGGCAGAUUAGGUAGUUGGUGGGAUAAAAGCUUACCAAGCCGACGAUCUGUAGCUGGUCUGAGAGGAUGAUCAGCCACACUGGGACUGAGACACGGCCCAGACUCCUACGGGAGGCAGCAGUGGGGAAUUUUGGACAAUGGGCGCAAGCCUGAUCCAGCCAUGCCGCGUGCAGGAUGAAGGCCUUCGGGUUGUAAACUGCUUUUGUACGGAACGAAAAGCCUUCUUUUAAUACAGGAGGGUCACGACGGUACCGUAAGAAUAAGCACCGGCUAACUACGUG